AAUCAACGCUGGCGGCGUGCCUCAGACAUGCAAUCGAACGCUGCUGUUCGCCUUCGGGUGGACAGCGGAGUGGCGCACGGGUGAGUAACACGUAGGUAAUCUACCUUUGGGUGGGAAUAACAGCCGGAAACGGCUGCUAAUACCGCAUAAUGCAGCGGCAUCACAUGAUGACAGUUGUUAAAGCGAGGGAUCGUAAGACCUCGCGCCUGAAGAGGAGCCUGCGGCAGAUUAGGUAGUUGGUGAGGUAAUGGCUCACCAAGCCUGCGAUCUGUAACCGGCCUGAGAGGGCGGUCGGUCACACUGACACUGACAUACGGGUCAGACUCCUACGGGAGGCAGCAGUCGGGAAUUUUGGG
rnacentral:rRNA from 1 species